AUUGAACGCUGGCGGCAUGCUUUACACAUGCAAGUCGAACGGCAGCGCGGGCUUCGGCCUGGCGGCGAGUGGCGAACGGGUGAGUAAUGCAUCGGAACGUGCCCAGUAGUGGGGGAUAGCGCGGCGAAAGCCGGAUUAAUACCGCAUACGACCUGAGGGUGAACGCGGGGGACCGAAAGGCCUUGCGCUAUUGGAGCGGCCGAUGUCGGAUUAGCUAGUUGGUGGGGUAAAGGCUUACCAAGGCGACGAUCCGUAGCUGGCCUGAGAGGACGACCAGCCACACUGGGACUGAGACACGGCCCAGACUCCUACGGGAGGCAGCAGUGGGGAAUUUUGGACAAAGGGGGCAACCCUGAUCCAGCCAUGCCGCGUGCGUGAAGAAGGCCUUCGGGUUGUAAACCGCUUUUGUUCGGGAAGAAAUCCUCUGGGCUAAUACCCCGGGGGGAUGACGGUACCGGAAGAAUAAGCACCGGCUAACUACGUG
rnacentral:rRNA from 1 species